rnacentral:rRNA from 1 species
AUACGAAGGUGGCAAGCGUUGUUCGGAAUCACUGGGCUUAAAGCGUGCGUAGGCGGAUUAUCAAGUGUCCUUUGAAAUCCCACGGCUCAACCGUGGAACUGGGGGGCAAACUGGUAGUCUUGAGGCAGUUAGGGGUGGGUGGAACUCUUGGUGGAGCGGUGGAAUGCGUAGAUAUCAAGAGGAACGCCAGAGGUGAAAACGACCCACUGGGACUGUCCUGACGCUGAGGUACGAAAGCGUGGGUAGCGAACGGGAUUAGAUACCCCGGUAGUCCACGCUGUAAACGAUGUGUACUAAACCAUGGUGCUCUGACUGCAUCGUGGUUGUAGCAAAAGUAUUAAGUACACCGCCUGGGGAGUACGGUCGCAAGGCUAAA